GAUGAACGCUGGCGUAUGCCUAACACAUGCAAGUCGUACGAGAGUUUUUUAACUCUAGUGGCGGACGGGUGCGUAACGCGUAAGAACCUACCUUUUGGAGGGGGAUAACAUUGGGAAACUGAUGCUAAUACCCCAUAUCAGCUGAGGAGUGAAAGAAUAAAAUCGCCAGAAGAGGGGCUUGCGUCUGAUUAGCUAGUUGGUGAGGUAACGGCUCACCAAGGCGAUGAUCUUUAGGGGGCCUGAGAGGGUGAUCCCCCACACUGGUACUGAGACACGGACCAGACUCCUACGGGAGGCAGCAGUGAGGAAUAUUGGUCAAUGGGUGCAAGCCUGAGCCAGCCAUCCCGCGUGAAGGACGACUGCCCUAUGGGUUGUAAACUUCUUUUGUAUAGGGAUAAACCUUUCCACGUGUGGAAAGCUGAAGGUACUAUACGAAUAAGCACCGGCUAACUCCGUG
rnacentral:rRNA from 1 species